AGAGAAGGGGAAAUAAAUCCCCCUCAGUGA
rnacentral:tRNA from 1 species